GCAAGUCCCGGACCGUCAAUGAUGAACUUUCCUUUCUUCAAUGAAAUUGGCAGUGGAUUGGAAAAUUCAGCCGAGGCUUGGAGCUCGUAACCAACUUUUGGAUCGCUUAGUAUCUGCAAAAAAUAAUUUACAAAUUCCCCUUCUUAGUAUUAAAAUCGAUAUUGCAACUCGGCACAAUAAUUCCUUCCUUGGAUUGAAUAUCUAGUUUAUAAAUGAAGAAUCUAGCAAAGAGCUAGAAUGAAUCCCGCUUUCUACCAGAAAUCUUAAUUCAUUUCAAUCCAUUUGAAUUAGUUUUUUUUACUGGGCAGUGAAUGAUAUUUCUAUUUAGAAAAGGUACGACGAAAUGCAGAAGUUGAGGUAGCUCUACUAUUGCGAUGCGGGAUACAUACUCUUCAAUUAGCGGUCAAUGGGAUCCUAAAGGGUUCUAACCUCAUCGACUCAAAAUGUCGUCAAGACAUUGCGCAACAAUACCGGCCUGUUAGCCAAGUUAAAUGUGAAAAAGCCACUAUUAGACGUCCCAACGAGGUGGAACUUGACAGC